GAUGAACGCUGGCGGCGUGCCUAAUACAUGCAAGUCGAGCGAACAGACGAGGAGCUUGCUCCUCUGACGUUAGCGGCGGACGGGUGAGUAACACGUGGAUAACCUACCUAUAAGACUGGGAUAACUUCGGGAAACCGGAGCUAAUACCGGAUAAUAUAUUGAACCGCAUGGUUCAAUAGUGAAAGACGGUUUUGCUGUCACUUAUAGAUGGAUCCGCGCCGCAUUAGCUAGUUGGUAAGGUAACGGCUUACCAAGGCAACGAUGCGUAGCCGACCUGAGAGGGUGAUCAGCCACACUGGAACUGAGACACGGUCCAGACUCCUACGGGAGGCAGCAGUAGGGAAUCUUCCGCAAUGGGCGAAAGCUUGACGGAGCAACGCCGCGUGAGUGAUGAAGGUCUUCGGAUCGUAAAACUCUGUUAUUAGGGAAGAACAAAUGUGUAAGUAACUAUGCACGUCUUGACGGUACCUAAUCAGAAAGCCACGGCUAACCACGUG
rnacentral:rRNA from 1 species